rnacentral:rRNA from 1 species
GAUGAACGCUGGCGGUAUGCUUAACACAUGCAAGUCGAACGGUACCUUCGGGUAUAGUGGCGGAAGGGUGAGUAACGCGUGAGAAUCUAUCUUCAGGUCGGGGACAACAGUUAGAAAUGACUGCUAAUACCGGAUGUGCCGAAAGGUAAAAGAUUUAUUGCCUGAAAAAGAGCUCGCGUCAGAUUAGCUAGUAGGUGGUGUAAGAGACUACCUAGGCUUCGAUCUGUAGCUGGUCUGAGAGGACGAUCAGCCACACUGGAACUGAGACACGGUCCAGACUCCUACGGGAGGAAGAAGUGGGGAAUUUUCCGCAAUGGGCGAAAGACUGACGGAGCAAUACCGCGUGAGGGACGAAGGCUCUUGGGUCGUAAACCUCUUUUCCCAAGGAAGAUUCAGACGGUACUUGAGGAAUAAGCAUCGGCUAACUCUGUG